rnacentral:rRNA from 1 species
UGGGGAAUAUUGGACAAUGGGCGAAAGCCUGAUCCAGCAAUGCCGCGUGAGUGAUGAAGGCCUUCGGGUUGUAAAGCUCUGUCGGGGGGGACGAACAGGUUCGGGUAACGCCGGACUCUGACGGUACCUCCAAAGGAAGCACCGGCUAACUCUGUGCCAGCAGCCGCGGUAAUACAGAGGGUGCAAGCGUUGUUCGGAAUUACUGGGCGUAAAGCGCGUGUAGGCUGCGGUAUAAGUCGGAUGUGAAAGCCCUCAGCUUAACUGAGGAAGUGCAUCCGAUACUGUAUCGCUUGAGUGUCGGAGGGGAUGGCGGAAUUCCCGGUGUAGAGGUGAAAUUCGUAGAUAUCGGGAGGAACACCUGUGGCGAAGGCGGCCAUCUGGACGACGACUGACGCUGAGACGCGAAAGCGUGGGUAGCAAACAGG